rnacentral:rRNA from 1 species
GUGAACGCUGGCGGUAGGCCUAACACAUGCAAGUCGAACGGCAGCACAGUAAGAGCUUGCUCUUACGGGUGGCGAGUGGCGGACGGGUGAGGAAUACAUCGGAAUCUACUUUUUCGUGGGGGAUAACGUAGGGAAACUUACGCUAAUACCGCAUACGACCUACGGGUGAAAGCAGGGGAUCUUCGGACCUUGCGCGAUUGAAUGAGCCGAUGUCGGAUUAGCUAGUUGGCGGGGUAAAGGCCCAUCAAGGCGACGAUCCGUAGCUGGUCUGAGAGGAUGAUCAGCCACACUGGAACUGAGACACGGUCCAGACUCCUACGGGAGGCAGCAGUGGGGAAUAUUGGACAAUGGGCGCAAGCCUGAUCCAGCCAUACCGCGUGGGUGAAGAAGGCCUUCGGGUUGUAAAGCCCUUUUGUUGGGAAAGAAAAGCAGCAGGUUAAUACCCCGCUGUUCUGACGGUACCCAAAGAAUAAGCACCGGCUAACUUCGUG